AUGAUGUAUCUUAGCUCAACAUAACAUGAUGGUGUCAUCAGCAGAUUGAACCACAGCAACUAAAUCAGUAAGGGCUUGAUCAUUUCAAAAGACAAGCA